GGUUUGCCACCAGAUCUCAAGAGUUGUUUGAAACAGAAACAAAAACCCACAGCGGCCAAGCCUCGGACACCCCCAUCCCCUGUCCCAGCUUAACAUCUUGGCAGACUUUCGAAGAGCCCAGACAGGUUUGUGGCGCUCCAGGUGGGCCACAUCAAUGCAGAACCAUUAUUUUAAAAAAACACAUUUGAGCCUGUUAAGAGGGAUUGUGGCAAAUGUUCAUGGAAAAGAGGGCCAGCCAAGGUGGGUUGUCUUCUACACAGGCUCGUGCUCUCAACUGCUGGGGGGUCUCAACUGUCUUUUUUAAAAAAACCGAGUCAGUGUUUAUCCCCUCAUGCUGCAAAUUCUGGCUUGAAAGUGUGAUUUGAGGAAUAGGAAAUCCUCGGUCGUUUUCCGACUUACUGUCCGACUUACUUUCCGACUUGGCGCGCUACUGCCGCCAAGUAGCGCGGGGUCCCCCGGCACUCCCCACUACAGGGCCGGCGACAACGCAGCCGCCCCGACGCUGCUGCUGUCGCGCCCCCUCAGCGCGCAUCAUUCCUGGCGCUCCUCAAAACGGCGGGGAAGCCCGGGAGCGCGCCAGAAAUGACGCGCGCGGAGAGUAGCGCGCAGCACAGGGUGGUCGAGGUAAGUGGGGCAACGACCCUCCAAAGAGUACGGCAUUACGUUGAGCAGAUAGCUCCUGAAGUGGAAUUUUCUUCAGCAGAAUACACGAUGGAAGGAAUAUGUUGUUUUUGGUAGAAGAAACUGGCUCUUCAUAGAAGGUUGGGCGAAGACCACGAAGGCAACAGGCAUGGAUCCUCUCCAGAAGUUUCAUUUGCAUCUGGCAUUUCCCCCAUUGUUUUGAAAAGGAUUUCUGGAGCCGCCUUUAAAACACCGCUUCCCCAAUAAUAAUAAUACCUCCAGCAGCCCUUGGCAUCAGUCUCAGCGGGCCUUGAAAUUGGGGUUGUGAGAUUGUCCUGCUCUGGGAUGCGUCUCAGGCUGCCUCUCCCGAGGCCCCGCUCUGCCUUCUCGCUCUUCCCUGCCAUCUCCACCCAUCUAGUCCUGCAGGCCAUGGCUUUCUCCCAGCCCACUUCUUGGCUGUGGGCCUCUCUGCCAAUCAGUUCUGUUAUCUGAGCAGCUUUUCACCCUGACGUCAAGAAUGGAGAAAUCUUUGGCUUGGAGGAUCGGGACGUGGUUCUCCUGGUUGUCCGAACUGUUCGGGUUGCAGAAGCCUUGCUUUCCAAGAGCUCAAGGCUACCAUCUUCCCUGCCCAUGGUGGUCAGGAUAACAGCACUGGAAACCAGAGCUGAUUGGGGCUGGUUUCUGUCAGAAAUUAUAAGCAUCUGAGUCCUCACAUUUCAGGGUUUUAGACGGGUUCCAGAUUUGGAGAAAUGCAAGAGGUAAACUUGUCCCCUUGCUUAGGGCUUUGCCAGAUCAUAGCAGGUCUCACAGACUGUUCUGCUGUGGGGCAGAGGCCUACCUAAAAACUUGGGAGUGUUGCAGACCCCUGAGCUAGAGCGAUUUCCAACCCCUCACGUGACCAAUGCAGAUAAGACCUCCAUGCAGUGGACAGAUUCUGCUGUCCUAGAUUGAAGCAAGAGGGCAAAUUGUGGAGCCCAGUGGUUGAUUUCCCUUCCCAGAGGAUACGCAAAGCUACUGCCAAAGCCCUGUGGGGACUCCACCACUCCGAAGGGUGACACCCUCCGUUGCCUUUGUGUCCUCUUUCCGGUUUUUUUGUUGUAACAUUUUGGGUCUUGCUUUUUCUGGCCCAUCAGCCCACACACAGCGGAGGGGGCCAGUGGUUAUCUGCAGAGGUUUAACAACGAGACGCUCUUCUGUUAGGCCAGGACACAAUGACCUCACUUUUUUAAAGCAAGAUGGAUCCAGUGUUGCCAAGUUCUGGACUGUGGAAGGGCCAGCUCUGCACAUUCUUCUCUCUGCUGCCAGAUAGGCAGCUGCUGCCCCCAGUCACAGCUCACCUGCAGCCUUCAGAGGCAGCCGCCUCCUGACUCCUCGGCUGCCGCCGCUGAACGGCCACAGCGCUGGGGCAGCGAAGCAGGAGGGCCCUGGUAUGGGAAGAGUCUGGGUCUGGAGUCGCGCCUUCAGCCACAUGGCGUGGAAUUCUUGGCGGCUCCAUCUCGUGACCACAAACGAAAUGCGAUGGGUGCUUGGAAGAGCUACGGGCCGCCCUCCCCCUUGGCAUCCGGGGCGCCCCCUCGUGUGGCAUGACCCCACGCUGGUGCAACAUUGCCGCGCCCGGCAAGCCACCCUCUCCUGCCCCUUGGCUGCCCCUCGUCCCGAUGCCCUGUCCUCCAGAACGGUCAACCUGCUGGAGGCAUCCCAGGACACAGUGGAAGAUGAGACCUGUGUAAAGCAAGGCAAGGCAGCGCGGGCGUAUGCGGCGAAGUGCAAGUGUUUUGUAUACAUGUAUGUAGUGUAGAUAGGUACACUGUAUAAAUAUUCUCAUUCAUCAUAUACAUAUAUUAUACCCAUAGCAAUUACAGACUUUUAAGUGUUAUCUUUGUGUUCCCAGUUCUUUUUGUGUUUCAGCGUCUUGGGGUUUCCCGCUCAUUUUUAUGUGCUUUAUGAAAGCAACGACUCUACAUUGGAACCUCCCUUCUGGUCCCCACCUCACCCCCUUCAAUGGCGGGCGUCGAGGGCAGACCUGCGCAACCCCCCGGGAAUUGUUGCAUCUAUUUUAGGAUGCUUUUGGGGAGGAGGGGGUAGGGGAAGCAAGAGGCGGACUCAACCCUAGCUUUAGCAUUUCCCAACACAUAGAAAAUGGAUGCCUUUGCUGUGGAGCGCAUAGCUGAAAAAGAAAUCUAGAAAGGAUGACAAAGAUAAAAAUUAAAGAUUUUUUUAAAAGGUAAACAAAAUAUCUAAAAUGACAAUGAAGUUAAAAUAUCUAUUUUUGUACAAAUGUAAUUUUAACCCUUGCAUAUUCUUACAUAAUUUUGGGGGGGGUGUUUUUCUGCUAUUAUAAAAUUUGUUCUAAAUCUCUCAUGUGUAUGUUCAGCCUACAACAGUGCAGGCAAACGUUUUCAAGACUGUGCAGAAAUCAGCUUUUAUCGGCUGCCUUCUUCAGAGAUCAUGUUCUCCUUCAGAGGAAUGGAUUUUCCUUUUCCCCUGGCCUUCUUGCAAAACCAGACCACGGGUCUUCUGUUGUGCCCCAGCCAGCACUCUCCUUCAGGUCUACUCUACUGUGAAAUCACUACCACAUAUUAUUGUUCACUACAAAAAAGUUUUAAAAAAAUAAAUAAAUAACGUUCUGCUGGAAAUUGCAGUAUUUUGAACAAAUGUAUUAGAAUUGUUUUUUUAAAAAGUAAAAGAAAAAUAUAUGAGCAUUUUAAAAUUUAAAU